UACGAAGGGGGCGAGCGUUGUUCGGAAUCACUGGGCGUAAAGGGCGCGUAGGCGGCCUUUCAAGUCAGGGGUGAAAUCCGGCAGCUCAACUGUCGAAGUGCCAUUGAUACUGAUGAGCUCGAGGGAGGUAGGGGUAUGUGGAACUUCCGGUGGAGCGGUGAAAUGCGUUGAUAUCGGAAGGAACGCCGGUGGCGAAAGCGACGUACUGGACCUCUUCUGACGCUGAGGCGCGAAAGCUAGGGGAGCAAACGGG
rnacentral:rRNA from 1 species